CCUACGGGUGGCAGCAGUGAGGAAUAUUGGUCAAUGGGCGAGAGCCUGAACCAGCCAAGUCGCGUGAAGGAUGACGGCCCUACGGGUUGUAAACUUCUUUUGUCAGGGAGCAAUUGAGUCCACGUGUGGUCUUAGCGAGAGUAACUGAAGAAAAAGCAUCGGCUGACUCCGUGCCAGCAGCAGCGGUAAUACGGAGGAUGCGAGCGUUAUCCGGCUUUGUUGGGGUUAAAGGGUGCGUAGGCGGAAUAUCAAGUCAGCGGUAAAAAUUCGGGGCUCAACCCCGUCGUGCCGUUGAAACUGAUGGUCUUGAGUGGGCGAGAGGUAGGCGGAAUGCGUGGUGUAGCGGUGAAAUGCAUAGAUAUCACGCAGAACUCCGAUUGCGAAGGCAGCAUACCGGCGCCCAACUGACGCUGAAGCACGAAAGCGUGGGUAUCGAACAGGAUUAGAUACCCGAGUAGUC
rnacentral:rRNA from 1 species